GUUUGAUCAUGGCUCAGAUUGAACGCUGGCGGCAGGCUUAACACAUGCAAGUCGAGCGGGGGAAGGUAGCUUGCUACUGGACCUAGCGGCGGACGGGUGAGUAAUGCUUAGGAAUCUGCCUAUUAGUGGGGGACAACAUCUCGAAAGGGAUGCUAAUACCGCAUACGUCCUACGGGAGAAAGCAGGGGAUCUUCGGACCUUGCGCUAAUAGAUGAGCCUAAGUCGGAUUAGCUAGUUGGUGGGGUAAAGGCCUACCAAGGCGACGAUCUGUAGCGGGUCUGAGAGGAUGAUCCGCCACACUGGGACUGAGACACGGCCCAGACUCCUACGGGAGGCAGCAGUGGGGAAUAUUGGACAAUGGGGGGAACCCUGAUCCAGCCAUGCCGCGUGUGUGAAGAAGGCCUUAUGGUUGUAAAGCACUUUAAGCGAGGAGGAGGCUACUUUAGUUAAUACCUAGAGAUAGUGGACGUUACUCGCAGAAUAAGCACCGGCUAACUCUGUGCCAGCAGCCGCGGUAAUACAGAGGGUGCGAGCGUUAAUCGGAUUUACUGGGCGUAAAGCGUGCGUAGGCGGCUUAUUAAGUCGGAUGUGAAAUCCCCGAGCUUAACUUGGGAAUUGCAUUCGAUACUGGUGAGCUAGAGU
rnacentral:rRNA from 1 species